CGGCAACCUGGCGGGGCUGCUGCUGACCUUGAGCGUCGGCCUGAGGCAGCUUGCUGACGCUCCGAUGUUCGGCCCCUCCGUGGUCAA
rnacentral:tRNA from 1 species